GAAGUAAAAGUCGUAACAAGGUUUCCGUAGGUGAACCUGCGGAAGGAUCAUUAUUGAAAUAAAUCUGAUAAGUUGCUGCUGGUUCUCUAGGGAGCAAUGUGCACACUUGUCAUCUUUGUAUCUUCACCUGUGCACCUUUUGUAGACCUGAGUAUCUCUCUGAAUUGCUUAUAUUAUAGCAUUCAGGAUUGAGAAUUGACUUCUUGUCUCUUCUUAUAUUUUCAGGUCUAUGUUUCUUCAUAUACCCCAAUGUAUGUUUAUAGAAUGUAAUUAAUGGGCCUUUGUGCCUAUAAACCUUUACAACUUUCAGCAACGGAUCUCUUGGCUCUCGCAUCGAUGAAGAACGCAGCGAAAUGCGAUAAGUAAUGUGAAUUGCAGAAUUCAGUGAAUCAUCGAAUCUUUGAACGCACCUUGCGCUCCUUGGUAUUCCGAGGAGCAUGCCUGUUUGAGUGUCAUUAAUAUUAUCAACCUUUUUGGUUGGAUGUGGGUUUGCUGGCCUCUUGAGGUCAGCUCCCCUUAAAUGCAUUAGCGGACAACAUUUUGCCAACUGUUCAUUGGUGUGAUAAUUAUCUACGCUAUUGACAGGGAAGCAAGGUUCAGCUUCUAACAGUCCAUUGACUUGGACAAGCCUCUUUUAUUAAUGUGACCUCAAAUCAGGUAGGACUACCCGCUGAACUUAAGC
rnacentral:rRNA from 1 species